CUAAUAAUACUUCUCUUUGUUUUUCUUGAAGUCAGUUAAGAUUUCAAACUUCUUAGUUCCGGAUUGAGUAUCAUUUCUACUUCUGAAAUUUUAUCUUGUACUUCAACAUUUUUGAAGGGGGAGAUUAUACAAAAAAUUUAUUCAACAUUAAAAACAAUGAGUUCAACAGUUUGAUUAUACAAUAAGAAAAGAUGAAUUAAUAUUACAAAUAGGAGAAAAGCAAAUAAAAAUCGUCAGUUGUUCGUGAUAAAGUACUUGAACUCUUCAUAUGCAUUUGGUAUAGCUAAUAGGACGGCGCCCCAUGUAUCAAUACUUACAUCAGUAUUCAAGACUAGUAAAUCACUAGGCUUCGCUAGAUAUAGCCUCGGUAAAUUUUUGCAUAAACUUUUCAAGAGCUCAGAAAGAUGAAGCAACUACAAGCAAUGGAACAUUUGGAGAAAGAUUUCAACGAAAUGGAGGAAAAGAGGAAAGAGAAAGGAAAGGAGCCUGCAAGAAGAGGAGGAGAUUUUGUGGAAGCCAAACCAGAAAGGAAUGAAAAUUCUAAAAAAUGGUUUUAUCGAAACACAAGAACAUUUAUCAGAAAAAAU
rnacentral:lncRNA from 1 species